CCUACGGGUGACAGCAGUAGGGAAUAUUGCUCAAUGGGGGAAACCCUGAAGCAGCAACGCCGCGUGGAGGAUGAAGGUUUUCGGAUUGUAAACUCCUUUUGUUAGAGAAGAUAAUGACGGUAUCUAACGAAUAAGCACCGGCUAACUCCGUGCCAGCAGCCGCGGUAAUACGGAGGGUGCAAGCGUUACUCGGAAUCACUGGGCGUAAAGAGCGCGUAGGCGGGAUAGCAAGUCAGAUGUGAAAGCCUAUGGCUCAACCAUAAAACUGCAUUUGAAACUGUUAUUCUAGAGUAUGGGAGAGGUAGGUGGAAUUCUUGGUGUAGGGGUAAAAUGCGUAGAGAUCAAGAGGAAUACUCAUUGCGAAGGCGACCUGCUAGAACAUAACUGACGCUGAUGCGCGAAAGCGUGGGGAGCAAACAGGAUUAGAUACCCGUGUAGUC
rnacentral:rRNA from 1 species